rnacentral:ncRNA from 1 species
AGUCGAAGUGACCCACCAAUGUUGUCCUACAGGGGAGAGCGUUAAACCACCAUAAGGUGCUUUGGUAAAGAGCCAGGGUAUUGAGCGUUAUGGAAAAGGCUAUGCCGUGAGCUGGUCAGGU